rnacentral:rRNA from 1 species
UGGGGAAUAUUGCACAAUGGGGGAAACCCUGAUGCAGCGACGCCGCGUGAACGAAGAAGGUAUUCGUAUCGUAAAGUUCUGUCCUAUGGGAAGAUAAUGACAGUACCAUAGAAGAAAGCUCCGGCUAAAUACGUGCCAGCAGCCGCGGUAAUACGUAUGGAGCGAGCGUUUUCCGGAAUUAUUGGGCGUAAAGGGUACGCAGGCGGUUUAAUAAGUCGAAUGUUAAAGAUCGGGGCUCAACCCCGCAAAGCAUUGGAAACUGAUAAACUUGAGUAGUGGAGAGGAAAGUGGAAUUCCUAGUGUAGUGGUGAAAUACGUAGAUAUUAGGAGGAAUACCAGUAGCGAAGGCGACUUUCUGGACACAAACUGACGCUGAGGUACGAAAGCGUGGGGAGAAAACAGG